AUUGAACGCUGGCGGCAUGCCUUACACAUGCAAGUCGAACGGCAGCACGGGUGCUUGCACCUGGUGGCGAGUGGCGAACGGGUGAGUAAUACAUCGGAACAUGUCCUGUAGUGGGGGAUAGCCCGGCGAAAGCCGGAUUAAUACCGCAUACGAUCCACGGAUGAAAGCGGGGGACCUUCGGGCCUCGCGCUAUAGGGUUGGCCGAUGGCUGAUUAGCUAGUUGGUGGGGUAAAGGCCUACCAAGGCGACGAUCAGUAGCUGGUCUGAGAGGACGACCAGCCACACUGGGACUGAGACACGGCCCAGACUCCUACGGGAGGCAGCAGUGGGGAAUUUUGGACAAUGGGCGAAAGCCUGAUCCAGCAAUGCCGCGCGUGUGAAGAAGGCCUUCGGGUUGUAAAGCACUUUUGUCCGGAAAGAAAUCCUUGGCUCUAAUACAGUCGGGGGAUGACGGUACCGGAAGAAUAAGCACCGGCUAACUACGUG
rnacentral:rRNA from 1 species